rnacentral:SRP_RNA from 13 species
UGCGCCAGCAUGGAUGCGGGGUACUGCAGCGUUGGGGUGCACAUGGCCUCUGUGUCCGAGUCCGCGGCCGCACUGCCAUUAAAUCGGAACAUACUACCAGGCGUGAAAAGCAGCACGGCCCAGAUCCCG